rnacentral:rRNA from 1 species
GACGAACGCUGGCGGCGUGCUUAACACAUGCAAGUCGAACGGUAAGGCCCUUCGGGGUACACGAGUGGCGAACGGGUGAGUAACACGUGGGUGAUCUGCCCUGCACUUCGGGAUAAGCCUGGGGAACUGGGUCUAAUACCGGAUAGGAACAUGCGCUUCACGGUGUGUGGUGGAAAGCUAUUGCGGUGUGGGAUGGGCCCGCGGCCUAUCAGCUUGUUGGUGGGGUAAUGGCCUACCAAGGCGACGACGGGUAGCCGGCCUGAGAGGGUGACCGGCCACACUGGGACUGAGGUACGGCCCAGACUCCUACGGGAGGCAGCAGUGGGGAAUAUUGCACAAUGGGCGCAAGCCUGAUGCAGCGACGCCGCGUGAGGGAUGACGGCCUUCGGGUUGUAAACCUCUUGCAGUAGGGACGAAGCGCAAGUGACGGUACCUACAGAAGAAGGACCGGCCAACUACGUGCCAGCCGCCGCAGUAA